GUGCUGUUUUUACCAUGAGCCUGAUAAUGUUUCACUUCACUGGAAAGAUUGUUCAAGGGUGUCAAAAAGCACUUCAAGGAUGCAAGGAUGCAGAAUGUACUCUUCUAGCAUCCAGACCUCUGGACCAUCAUGCAAGCCAACAGCUUUUGUUGUGCUGCUGAAGGAGAAUAGGAUGGGGGUAGCGUAAGAGUGCUUUCCUUUCUGCCAUCAAAGCAUACAGUACACAGCACGACAAGGUAUUCACUGUACAGUUCCACUUCCAAGCCAAGCUGAAAGUUUCUUUGCCGAGAACUUGACCCCGGUACAAAGCAGGGCUGACAAGCACCAACCAGGAUGAAGUGCUCAAUCCAGGAUGAAAACGUAAAAACUGUAGCUGAACUAC